rnacentral:rRNA from 1 species
UACGGAGGGGGCAAGCGUUGUUCGGAGUCACUGGGCGUAAAGGGCGCGUAGGCGGUGCAUAAAGUCAGGCGUGAAAUCCCCGGGCUCAACCCGGGAACUGCGUCCGAUACUGACAGGCUUGAAUCCGGGAGAGGGAUGUGGAAUUCCAGGUGUAGCGGUGAAAUGCGUAGAGAUCCGGAGGAACACCAGUGGCGAAGGCGACACGCUGGGCCGUACCUGACACUGAUGCGCGACAGCAUGGGGAGCAAACAGG